CAAAGUGUAGCUUAACAUAAAGCAUUCGGCCUACGCCCGAAAGAUUUCAUAAUAACCUGACCACUUUGA
rnacentral:tRNA from 1 species